rnacentral:rRNA from 1 species
UACAGAGGUCCCGAGCGUUGUUCGGAAUUAUUGGGCGUAAAGGGUGCGUAGGCGGUAGGAUAAGUUAGAUGUGAAAUGUCGGCGCUUAACGUCGAACCUGCAUUUAAGACUGUCCUGCUUGAGCGCUAGAGAGGAGUCUGGAAUUUACGGUGUAGCAGUGAAAUGCGUAGAUAUCGUAAGGAAGGCCAGUGGCGAAAGCGAGUUUCUGGACAGUAACUGACGCUGAGGCACGAAGGCCAGGGGAGCAAACGGG